UACGAAGGGGGCUAGCGUUGUCCGGAAUCAUUGGGCGUAAAGCGCGUGUAGGCGGUUCGGUAAGUCCGCUGUGAAAGUCGGGGGCUCAACCCUCGGAUGCCGGUGGAUACUGUCGGACUAGAGUACGGAAGAGGCGAGUGGAAUUCCUGGUGUAACGGUGAAAUGCGCAGAUAUCAGGAGGAACACCGAUUGCGAAGGCAGCUCGCUGGGACGUUACUGACGCUGAGACGCGAAAGCGUGGGGAGCAAACAGG
rnacentral:rRNA from 1 species